GCUCCUUUAGUUCAGGGGACAAGAAUGCAUCCCUCUCACGGAUGUGACCCGGGUUCGAAUCCCGGAAGGAGCG
rnacentral:tRNA from 1 species